rnacentral:rRNA from 1 species
UGGGGAAUAUUGGACAAUGGGGGCAACCCUGAUCCAGCCAUGCCGCGUGGGUGAAGAAGGCCUUAGGGUUGUAAAGCCCUUUCAGCGGGGAAGAUGAUGACGGUACCCGUGGAGGAAGCACCGGCUAACUCUGUGCCUGCAGCCGCGGUAAUACAGAGGGUGCAAACGUUGCUCGCAAUGACUGGGCGUAAAGCGCGCGCAGGUGGCCCGUUAAGUCGGCUGUGAAAUCCCCUGGCUCAUCCAGGGAAGUGCAGUCGAUACUGGCAGGCUCGAGUCCCGGAGAGGGUGGUAGAAUUCCCAGUGUAGAGGUGAAAUUCGUAGAUAUUGGGAGGAAUACCGGUGGCGAAGGCGACCGCCUGGACGGGUACUGACACUGAGGCGCGAAAGCGUGGGGAGCAAACAGGAUUAGAUACCCCUGUAGUCC